UGGUCAAGUUAUUAAGGGUGCAGGGCGGAUGCCUUGGCACUAGGAGCCGAUGAAGGACGUGAUAAGCUGCGAUAAGCUUCGGGGAGUUGCACGUAAACUUUGAUCCGAAGAUUUCCGAAUGAGGAAACUCACUUAGAGUAAUGUCUAAGUAUCAUUAAGUGAAUACAUAGCUUAAUGAGGGGAACUCAGGGAACUGAAACAUCUAAGUACCUGAAGGAAGAGAAAGAAAUUCGAUUCCGUAAGUAGCGGCGAGCGAACGCGGAUUAGCCCAAACCAAUAAAGUUUUCUUUAUUGGGGUUGCGGACAUAUCAUAACGAAGAGGUAUCGUAAUUGAAGAGGUUUGGAAAGACCCACCACAGAAGGUAAUAGUCCUGUAUGUUAAACGAGAAGACUUUAGAUAUGAUCCAGAGUACCACGGGACACGUGAAACCCUGUGGGAAGCAGGAGGGACCACCCUCCAAGGCUAAAUACUACCUAGUGACCGAUAGCGUAUAGUACCGUGAGGGAAAGGUGAAAAGAACCCCGGGAGGGGAGUGAAAUAGAACCUGAAACCCUGCACUUACAAGCUGUGGAAGCACAUUUCUUGUGUGACCGCGUACUUUUUGUAGAACGGGCCAACGAGUUACGUUAAGUAGCAAGGUUAAGCACUUAAGGUGUGGAGCCGUAGCGAAAGCGAGUUUUAACUGAGCGUUCAGUUACUUGACGUAGACCCGAAACCGGGCGACCUACCCAUGAGCAGGAUGAAGCGAAAGUAAAAUUUCGUGGAGGUCCGAACCCACGAGCGUUGAAAAGCUCGGGGAUGACUUGUGGGUAGCGGUGAAAUUCCAAUCGAGCCCGGAGAUAGCUGGUUCUCCCCGAAAUAGCUUUAGGGCUAGCCUCAAGGUGAGAGAUACGGAGGUAGAGCACUGAAUGUCCUAGGGGGUAUUGCACCUACCGAAGACUAUCAAACUCCGAAUGCCGUCAUCUUAUACUUGGGAGUCAGACUGUGGGUGAUAAGAUUCAUAGUCGAAAGGGCAACAGCCCAGAUCGUCAGCUAAGGUCCCUAAAUGUAAGUUAAGUGGUAAAGGAUGUGGGAUUGCACAGACAACCAGGAUGUUGGCUUAGAAGCAGCCACUCAUUCAAAGAGUGCGUAAUAGCUCACUGGUCGAGUGAUCCUGCGCCGAAGAUUUCCGGGGCUAAAACUUACUACCGAAGCUACGGCAUCAGUAAUGAUGGGUAGGGGAGCUUCCCAUACGGGUUGAAGCAUGACCGUAAGGACAUGUGGACAGUAUGGGAGUGAGAAUGUUGGCAUGAGUAGCGAGAUGUGGGUGAGAAUCCCACAGGCCGUAAACCCAAGGUUUCCAGGGGAAGGUUCGUCCGCCCUGGGUUAGUCGGGACCUAAGCUGAGGCCGAAAGGCGUAGGUGAUGGACAACAGGUUGAUAUUCCUGUACUACCGAUAACCGUUUGAGAGAAGGGAUGACACAGUAGGAUAAGCUAAGCACACUGUUGGUUAUGUGUGCCCAAGCAUUGAGGCAGUCAAAGUAGGCAAAUCCGCUUUGAUAAUGCUGGGAUGUGAUGGGGAGCGAAAUUUAGUAGCGAAGUAGCUGAUUUCACACUGUCAAGAAAAGUCUCUAUCGAGGUUAAAGGUACCCGUACCGCAAACCGACACAGGUGGGUGAGGAGAGUAUCCUAAGGCCAGCGAGAGAACUGUUGUUAAGGAACUCGGCAAAAUGACCCCGUAACUUAGGGAUAAGGGGUGCCGCCAUCAGGUGGCCGCAGAGAAUAGGCCCAAGCGACUGUUUACCAAAAACAUAGGUUUCUGCUAAGUCGCAAGACGAUGUAUAGGAGCUGACGCCUGCCCGGUGCUGGAAGGUUAAGGGGAUCUGUUAGAGCAAUCGAAGCAGUGAACUUAAGCCCCAGUAAACGGCGGCCGUAACUAUAACGGUCCUAAGGUAGCGAAAUUCCUUGUCGGGUAAGUUCCGACCCGCACGAAAGGCGUAACGAUUUGGGCACUGUCUCAACAACAGACUCGGUGAAAUUGUAAUUCCGGUGAAGAUGCCGGAUACCUGCGACAGGACGGAAAGACCCCAUGGAGCUUUACUGUAGCUUGACAUUGGGUCUUGGUACUACAUGUACAGGAUAGGUGGGAGGCUUUGAAACCAGGACGCCAGUUUUGGCGGAGCCAUCCUUGGGAUACCACCCUUGUAGUACUGGGACUCUAACCAUAGGCCAUGAAUCUGGUCUUGGGACACUGUCAGGUGGGCAGUUUGACUGGGGCGGUCGCCUCCCAAAAGGUAACGGAGGCGCUCAAAGGUUCUCUCAGUACGGUCGGAAAUCGUACGUAGAGUGUAAAGGCAAAAGAGAGCUUGAUUGCAAGACAUACAGGUCGAGCAAGGAUGAAAAUCGGACUUAGUGAUCCGGUGGUUCUGCGUGGAAGGGCCAUCGCUCAACGGAUAAAAGCUACCCUGGGGAUAACAGGCUUAUCUCCCCCAAGAGUCCACAUCGACGGGGAGGUUUGGCACCUCGAUGUCGGCUCAUCACAUCCUGGGGCUGUAGUAGGUCCCAAGGGUUGGGCUGUUCGCCCAUUAAAGUGGUACGCGAGCUGGGUUCAGAACGUCGUGAGACAGUUCGGUCCCUAUCCGUCGCAGGCGUAGGAAAUUUGAGAAGACCUGUCCUUAGUACGAGAGGACCGGGAUGGACGUACCUCUGGUGUACCAGUUGUCCUGCCAAGGGCAUGGCUGGGUAGCUAUGUACGGAAUGGAUAAGCGCUGAAAGCAUCUAAGCGCGAAGCCAACUUCAAGAUAAGAUUUCCCACCGCAAGGGUAAGACCCCAGAAAGACUAUCUGGUUGAUAGGUCGAAGGUGUAAGUGCAGCAAUGUAUUUAGCUUAUCGAUACUAAUAGGUCGAGGACUUGACCAAU
rnacentral:rRNA from 1 species